rnacentral:rRNA from 1 species
GGGUUGUGAGGUUAAGCGACUAAGCGUACACGGUGGAUGCCCUGGCAGUCAGAGGCGAUGAAGGACGUGCUAAUCUGCGAUAAGCGUCGGUAAGGUGAUAUGAACCGUUAUAACCGGCGAUUUCCGAAUGGGGAAACCCAGUGUGAUUCGUCACACUAUCAUUAACUGAAUCCAUAGGUUAAUGAGGCGAACCGGGGGAACUGAAACAUCUAAGUACCCCGAGGAAAAGAAAUCAACCGAGAUUCCCCCAGUAGCGGCGAGCGAACGGGGAGCAGCCCAGAGCCUGAAUCAGUGUGUGUGUUAGUGGAAGCGUCUGGAAAGGCGCGCGAUACAGGGUGACAGCCCCGUACACAAAAAUGCACAUGCUGUGAGCUCGAUGAGUAGGGCGGGACACGUGGUAUCCUGUCUGAAUAUGGGGGGACCAUCCUCCAAGGCUAAAUACUCCUGACUGACCGAUAGUGAACCAGUACCGUGAGGGAAAGGCGAAAAGAACCCCGGCGAGGGGAGUGAAAAAGAACCUGAAACCGUGUACGUACAAGCAGUGGGAGCACGCUUAGGCGUGUGACUGCGUACC